rnacentral:rRNA from 1 species
GAUGAACGCUGGCGGCGUGCUUAACACAUGCAAGUCGAACGGUGAAGCCCAGCUUGCUGGGUGGAUCAGUGGCGAACGGGUGAGUAACACGUGAGCAACCUGCCCUGGACUCUGGGAUAAGCGCUGGAAACGGCGUCUAAUACUGGAUAUGAGACGUGGCCGCAUGGUCAACGUUUGGAAAGAUUUUUCGGUCUGGGAUGGGCUCGCGGCCUAUCAGCUUGUUGGUGAGGUAAUGGCUCACCAAGGCGUCGACGGGUAGCCGGCCUGAGAGGGUGACCGGCCACACUGGGACUGAGACACGGCCCAGACUCCUACGGGAGGCAGCAGUGGGGAAUAUUGCACAAUGGGCGGAAGCCUGAUGCAGCAACGCCGCGUGAGGGAUGACGGCCUUCGGGUUGUAAACCUCUUUUAGCAAGGAAGAAGCUUUUGUGACGGUACUUGCAGAAAAAGCGCCGGCUAACUACGUGCCAGCCGCCGCGGUAAAAC